rnacentral:lncRNA from 1 species
AUCCUAAGUGUUCAUGUCAACUAGCAAAGGUCUGCAUUUUCUGAUAAAAUAACUUAUAAAACUUCCAUAUUAAGAGCUAAAAUGGUUUGGAAGACAAAGAAGUGCUGAGAAAUAGUUAUGCGAGAAUUCCUGGUGGAGGUGGGCAACUCUCUUCCCUGCAGAUAUUCAAGGAUUCAGGCAGAUAGAAUCUCGUUCAUCAUCAACAUGUUGCCUGCAAGGAUCUUAUGGUUUCUCCAUCUCAUCCAGCCAGAAGCAAAUAAAAGCACAGGCAAGCCCACAGAGGAGGAUUUUAUGGGCCAAACCUGGGAGUGACUCAUCACAUCCCUCCCCAUAAUCCAUUGACUAGAAUGUAAUUAUUUGGCCAUACCUAACUUCAAGAGCAGCUGGGAAAUGUGAGCUUGCUGCGUGCCCAGGAAGAAUAAGGAAAAAGGACUUUGGUGGGCAACUAUCAGUUUCUCACUUCUCUUGGUGCUAAAGAGCUUUGUAGUAGGAAGAUUUGCCCAGACUAUUUGUUGCACAGCCAAUCCUCAGACCAUCUUGAAGCAUGUAGAAAAGGACUAAGGAUUGGAAAUUGAGUUAAAAGGUAUUAUUGGGAGACAUUUUUAGCAUCAGCAGCAUCUGCUGGAAAGUUUAUACUCUGAACUCUAGAGAACAGUUUUGUUUAGAGGAUAUUAGCAAAUUUGUAAAGAGAAUAUGUAAAGAAAGCUGAGAAUAAUAUUUUCAAACUCUUUCCUUAUAUCCCAAGUUAACAGACAGCACUAGGGUCAAUACUAACAUGA